rnacentral:rRNA from 1 species
CAACAGCUAGAGUUUGAUCCUGGCUCAGGACGAACGCUGGCGGCGUGCCUAACACAUGCAAGUCGAACGGAGAUUAAGAUUUCGGUUUUAAUCUGAGUGGCGAACGGGUGAGUAACGCGUGAGCAACCUGCCCUUCGANAGGGGGAUAACCGCUGGAAACAGCAGCUAAUACCGCAUAAGACCACAGCCCGGCAUCGGGAGGGGUCAAAGGAGCAAUCCGCUGAAGGAGGGGCUCGCGUCCCAUUAGAUAGUUGGCGGGAUAACAGCCCACCAAGUCGACGAUGGGUAGCCGAGCUGAGAGGCUGAUCGGCCACACUGGAACUGAGACACGGUCCAGACUCCUACGGGAGGCAGCAGUGGGGAAUAUUGGGCAAUGGGCGCAAGCCUGACCCAGCAACGCCGCGUGAGGGAAGAAGGCUUUCGGGUUGUAAACCUCUGUCCUUGGUGACGAAGAAGUGACGGUAGCCAAGGAGGAAGCCCCGGCUAACUACGUGCC